GAUGAACGCUGGCGGCGUGCCUAAUACAUGCAAGUCGAGCGAACAGACUAGGAGCUUGCUCCUCUGACGUUAGCGGCGGACGGGUGAGUAACACGUGGAUAACCUACCUAUAAGACUGGGAUAACUUCGGGAAACCGGAGCUAAUACCGGAUAAUAUAUUGAACCGCAUGGUUCAAUAGUGAAAGACGGUUUUGCUGUCACUUAUAGAUGGAUCCGCGCCGCAUUAGCUAGUUGGUAAGGUAACGGCUUACCAAGGCAACGAUGCGUAGCCGACCUGAGAGGGUGAUCGGACACACUGGAACUGAGACACGGUCCAGACUCCUACGGGAGGCAGCAGUAGGGAAUCUUCCGCAAUGGGCGAAAGCCUGACGGAGAAACGCCGCGUGAGUGAUGAAGGUCUUCGGAUCGUAAAACUCUGUUAUUAGGGAAGAACAAAUGUGUAAGUAACUAUGCACGUCUUGACGGUACCUAAUCAGAAAGCCACGGCUAACUACGUG
rnacentral:rRNA from 1 species